rnacentral:rRNA from 1 species
CAUCUAAGCACGAAACUUGCCCCGAGAUGAGUUCUCCCUGAGACUUUAGGUCUCCUGAAGGAACGUUGAAGACGACGACGUUGAUAGGCCGGGUGUGUAAGCGCAGCGAUGCGUUGAGCUAACCGGUACUAAUGAACCGUGAGGCUUAACCUUACAACGCCGAAG